UAAGUGAUGGCGACCGGCGCACGGGUGAGUAACACGUAUCCAACCUGCCGAUAACUCGGGGAUAGCCUUUCGAAAGAAAGAUUAAUACCCGAUGGUAUAAUAAAGCCGCAUGGUUUAAUUAUUAAAGAAUUUCGGUUAUCGAUGGGGAUGCGUUCCAUUAGGCAGUUGGUGAGGUAACGGCCCACCUAGUCUUCGAUGGAUAGGGGUUCUGAGAGGAAGGUCCCCCACAUUGGAACUGAGACACGGUCCAA
rnacentral:rRNA from 1 species